AUUAGGAGACAAAGCUGGCGAUGGAGAUGUUGCUUUAGGAGGAUGUGCAAUAGGACCAUGAGCCAUUGGUGACAGGGCUGGUCCUAGAGAUGGAGAAAUAUGGGAAGAUGGUGCUGGCGUUGGAGAUGAUUCACUGGGAGAUUCAGCAACAGGGGAAGGGGAUGUGGGAGCCAAAGCUGGCCCUGGAGAUGAUGCUUUGGGGGGUUUUGCAACAGGGCCAUGAUGCUUGGGAGAGUUUGCUGGCCCUGGAUAAAUGUGGGAAGAUGGUGCUGGUGUUGGAGAUAAUUCUUGGGGAGGUUCAGCAACAGGGGUUGGAGAUGUAGGAGCCAAAGCUGGACCUGGAGAUGAUGCUUUAGGAGGUUUUGCAACAGGGCCAUGAUGCUUGGGAGACUGUGCUGGCCCUGGUGAUGAAUAUGGGGAUGAUGCUGGAGGCUUGAUAAUCGGAACAGGGUACAUAGGAGGAGCUGCUUUUGGGGGAUGAGUUGGUGAUUUUUUCUUUCUCUCAGCCAUAACAACGGUGAUCAGUUUCUGCCCCUUUGGGCAAUGACCCUCUUUCCCACUGAUGAAAAAGAAGGGACCGGAGUGAGGAAAUUGAAACUCAGAAUUUCCACUGUCCAUUUUCUUUACAGGGUUCGUUCUGUUGCACUUGUAGUAAUCAUCUUUGUGUACCAGCAAAACUGAGUCUGAUCCUUUCUCAUAUUUGAAAGCUACCCAAACCAAAAACAUAAUCCACAUACCAAAAUCAAAUCAAGUAACAGAAGAACAUAAAAAUGGUUAUGAAAAACCAGAAGGCCAAAAUGAAUCAAAACAUUCAGCAAAGUAAAAAACUUACUCAGAGUGUCAUUGACUUGGAACCUUUGUCUACCAGCCCAGUCAUUGUACUUCUCUUUAGGCUGCAAAACCCAGCCAUCUUUGCCACCAACAUAGAAGUUUCUGUAGGCUUGAGAGAAAGAGAGAAGGUAAGCAAAGAAAACCAAGAAAAGGACGAGAGAUUUCUGAGACAUCAUGCUUAGUGAUUAUAU
rnacentral:lncRNA from 1 species